UGGGGAAUUUUGCGCAAUGGGCGAAAGCCUGACGCAGCGACGCCGCGUGUGCGAUGAAGGCCUUUGGGUCGUAAAGCACUGUCGACCGGGACGAAAACCUGCGAGCUAAUACCUCGCAGGCUUGACGGUACUGGUAAAGGAAGCACCGGCUAACUCUGUGCCAGCAGCCGCGGUAAUACAGAGGGUGCAAACGUUGCUCGGAAUUAUUGGGCGUAAAGCGCGUGCAGGCGGCUCGUUAAGUCGACUGUGAAAGCCCUUGGCUCAACCAAGGAAGUGCAGUCGAAACUGGCGAGCUAGAGUCCCGAAGAGGGUGGCGGAAUGCCAAGUGUAGAGGUGAAAUUCGUAGAUAUUUGGUAGAACACCAGUGGCGAAGGCGGCCACCUGGGAGGCGACUGACGCUGAGACGCGAAAGCGUGGGGAGCAAACAGGAUUAGAUACCCCCGUAGUCC
rnacentral:rRNA from 1 species